GCCGGGUGUGGUGGCGGGCUCCUGUAAUCCCAGCUACUCAGGAGGCUGAGACAGGAGAAUUGCUUGAACCCAGGAGGCAGAGGCUGCAGUGAGCCGAGAUCGUGCCACUGAACUCCAGCCUGGGCAACAGAGCGAGACUCUGUCUCAA
ensembl:misc_RNA Metazoa_SRP Metazoan signal recognition particle RNA